rnacentral:lncRNA from 1 species
GUCUUGGCUGAUAACAACUUGAUAGCUUGCACUACCACAAGUCAUAGCUUCUAGUUGGCUUUCAAAGUUGAGAGAGAAGUUGGAUUGAUUCCUGGCGUGGAACGCAUAGGGCCUCCAAAUGGUUAACCUUCUUCAUAGUGACUCUGUUAGUAAAGUCAGUGUCCAAUUGGCCAUCCUGUUCGACUUUAUCCCAAUCAAAGCACUGGAUGAAUGUACCAACUGCCAAUGAAACACUCCGAAUGCCUAGAUUGGCUCCGGGACAAGCUCUCCUCCCUAUCCCAAAUGGUAAAAACUUGGAAUUGAACUCUUCUUUAUCCAUUAAUACCUUCGCUUCGAAUCUUUCUGGCAUGAAUUUCUCAGGCUCCUCCCAGAGUUUUGGAUCCCUAUGCACGGCCCAGGCAUUAGC